GGUGAGUAAUGUCUGGGAAACUGCCUGAUGGAGGGGGAUAACUACUGGAAACGGUAGCUAAUACCGCAUAACGUCGCAAGACCAAAGAGGGGACCUUCGGGCCUCUUGCCAUCAGAUGUGCCCAGAUGGGAUUAGCUUGUUGGUGGGGUAACGGCUCACCAAGGCGACGAUCCCUAGCUGGUCUGAGAGGAUGACCAGCCACACUGGAACUGAGACACGGUCCAG
rnacentral:rRNA from 1 species